rnacentral:tRNA from 1 species
CCCUCCAAAGCUUUAUUGGAUGAGCACCAGCCUUUUAAGCUGGGGAAGAAGGAUCGUUACCUUAUGGAGGGAC